CUCAGAAGAAACUGGACAAAGAAGAAGGUAGUGGUGAUGGAGGUGGUGAAGAGGAUCCCUCAACAGACACCAAAGAUGUGAACAGAAAGACUGCCUGGCCAGCAGACUCUGGGACAUCAGUCUGGCCCAGCCUGAGAGCAUCCACAGGGACCUGGAAAACUCUCAUACUUAGUCAGAUGAUGUACCAGACAUAACCUCAGAGGAGUGUUGCUCACUCGGCUCCCAUACUGUAGCCUGCUCCUUAACCCCCAGAGCCCAAGGUGCACUGAGCCUACGUGCCCAUAUAAACCUCACUGCCCUACUGAGGGACAGACUGUCUUGAAGCCAGAGGUGCAGAAGCAAGAGUAGGG
rnacentral:lncRNA from 10 species